AAAUUUACCCGCUGAAUUUUAAGCAUAUCAGUAAGCGGAGGAAAAGAAACUAACCAGGAUUCUCCUAGUAACGGCGAGUGAACGGAGAUUAGCCCAGCGCCGAAGCCUAUCUGCAUUUGUGGACAGGGCAAUGUGGCGUUUAGGCGCAAGCCUGGGAACGCUAUUCUACUCGAAGUCCAGCUCCGAUUAUGGCUUGGAUUUGUUCCUAAGAGGGUGAAAGGCCCGUACGAGUAGAAGUUGUGUAUCUAUAGUGUUCCCUUAUGCUUGUGCUUUAGAGUCGGAUUGCUUGAGAAUGCAGUCCAAAGUGGGUGGUAAACACCAUCCAAGGCUAAAUACUGGCACGAAUCCGAUAGUAGACAAGUACCGCGAGGGAAAGUUGAAAAGUACUCUGAAGAGAGGAUUAUUU
rnacentral:rRNA from 1 species